UACGGAGGGGGCUAGCGUUGUUCGGAAUUACUGGGCGUAAAGCGCACGUAGGCGGCUUUGUAAGUUAGAGGUGAAAGCCUGGAGCUUAACUCCAGAACUGCCUUUAAGACUGCAUCGCUUGAAUCCAGGAGAGGUGAGUGGAAUUCCGAGUGUAGAGGUGAAAUUCGUAGAUAUUCGGAGGAACACCAGUGGCGAAGGCGGCUCACUGGACUGGUAUUGACGCUGAGGUGCGAAAGCGUGGGGAGCAAACAGG
rnacentral:rRNA from 1 species